rnacentral:rRNA from 1 species
AGCGGCGGACGGGUGAGUUUAGCGGGGGUAACCUGCCCUAUACACACGGAUAACAUACCGAAAGGUAUGCUAAUACGAGAUAAUAUAAGAGAUUCACAUGGAUUUCUUAUCAAAGCUGAGGCGGUAUAGGAUGGACCCGCGUCUGAUUAGCUAGUUGGUAAGGUAACGGCUUACCAAGGCGACGAUCAGUAGCCGACCUGAGAGGGUGAUCGGCCACAUUGGAACUGAGACACGGUCCAAACUCCUACGGGAGGCAGCAGUGGGGAAUAUUGCACAAUGGGCGAAAGCCUGAUGCAGCAACGCCGCGUGAGUGAUGAAGGCCUUCGGGUCGUAAAACUCUGUCCUCAAGGAAGAUAAUGACGGUACUUGAGGAGGAAGCCCCGGCUAACUACGUGCCAGCAGCCGCGGUAAUACGUAGGGGGCUAGCGUUAUCCGGAUUUACUGGGCGUAAAGGGUGCGUAGGUGGUCUCUUAAGUCAGGAGUGAAAGGCUACGGCUUAACCGUAGUAAGCUCUUGAAACUGGGAGACUUGAGUGCAGGAGAGGAAAGUGGAAUUCCUAGUGUAGCGGUGAAAUGCGUAGAUAUUAGGAGGAACACCAGUAGCGAAGGCGGCUUUCUGGACUGUAACUGACACUGAGGCACGAAAGCGUGGGGAGCAAACAGGAUUAGAUACCCUGGUAGUCCACGCCGUAAACGAUGAGUACUAGGUGU